AUACGUAGGGGGCGAGCGUUGUCCGGAAUGAUUGGGCGUAAAGGGCGCGUAGGCGGCCUGUUAAGUCUGGAGUGAAAGUCCUGUUUUCAAGAUGGGAAUUGCUUUGGAUACUGAUGGGCUUGAGUGCAGGAGAGGUUAUCGGAAUUCCCGGUGUAGCGGUGAAAUGCGUAGAGAUCGGGAGGAACACCAGUGGCGAAGGCGGGUACCUGGACAGCAACUGACGCUGAGGCUCGAAGGCGUGGGGAGCAGACAGGAUUAGAUACCCUGGUAGUCCACGCGGUAAACGAUGAUCACUAGGUGUUGGCACGCAUAGCGUGUCGGUGCCGCAGCAAACGCAAUAAGUGAUCCACCUGGGGAGUACGUUCGCAAGAAUGAAACUCAAAGGAAUUGACGGGG
rnacentral:rRNA from 1 species